rnacentral:rRNA from 1 species
CCUACGGGUGGCUGCAGUGGGGGAUAUUGCACAAUGGGGGAAACCCUGAUGCAGCGACGCCGCGUGGGCGAAGAAGUAUUUCGGUAUGUAAAGCCCUAUCAGCAGGGAAGAAGAAAUGACGGUACCUGAGUAAGAAGCACCGGCUAAAUACGUGCCAGCAGCCGCGGUAAUACGUAUGGUGCAAGCGUUAUCCGGAUUUACUGGGUGGAAAGGGAGCGCAGGCGGCACGGCAAGCCUGAUGUGAAAGCCCGCGGCCCAACCGCGGGACUGCAUUGGGAACUACCGGGCUGGAGUGCCGGAGAGGUAGGCGGAAUUCCUAGUGUAGCGGUGAAAUGCGUAGAUAUCACGCAGAACUCCGAUUGCGAAGGCAGCAUACCGGCGCCCAACUGACGCUGAAGCACGAAAGCGUGGGUAGCGAACAGGAUUAGAUACCCCAGUAGUC